rnacentral:rRNA from 1 species
ACCGCGUGAGGGAGGAAGGCUCUUGGGUCGUAAACCUCUUUUCUCAGGGAAGAACACAAUGACGGUACCUGAGGAAUAAGCAUCGGCUAACUCCGUGCCAGCAGCCGCGGUAAUACGGAGGAUGCAAGCGUUAUCCGGAAUGAUUGGGCGUAAAGCGUCCGCAGGUGGCUAUGUAAGUCUGCUGUUAAAGCGUCUAGCUCAACUAGAUAAGAGCAGUGGAAACUACAAGGCUAGAGUGCGUUCGGGGCAGAGGGAAUUCCUGGUGUAGCGGUGAAAUGCGUAGAGAUCAGGAAGAACACCGGUGGCGAAGGCGCUCUGCUAGGCCGCAACUGACACUGAGGGACGAAAGCUAGGGGAGCGAAUGGGAUUAGAUACCCCAGUAGUCCA